GUCUGGCAGCUCCUCAUGGUCCCGGUCGCAGGUAGCGUCCCGCCGCUGCCUCGGACCCGCCCCAAAUCUCACCGUCUGAGGGAACUCCGGGUAGCGGCCUCUGAGCCCCAGCCUGCACCUACACAUCCAGAAGACCUGAGGAAGCUGAAGAACCACGAAAGAAGUGAAAAUGGCCAGUUCCUGCCUUAACUGAUGACAUUAGCUUGUGAAAUUCCUUCUCCUGGACAAUGAGUCUCAAAAGCUCCCCCACUGAGCACCUUGUGACCCCCACCCCUGCCGCAAGAGGACAACCCCCUUUGACUGUGAUUAAAAAGCUUUAUUGCUCACACAAAGCCUGUUUGGUGGUCUCUUCACACGGACGCACUUGACAUUUGGUGCCGAAGACCCAGGACAGGGAGACUCCUUCGGAAGACAGGUCCCCUGUCCUCACCAUCACUCCAUGAGGAGAUCCACCUAAGACCUCGGGUCCUCAGACCAGCCCAAGGAAUACCUUACCAACUUCAAAUCGGACAGGAAUGUCAGGCCUCUGAGCCCAAGCCUGCACCUGUACAUCCAGAUGGACUGAGGAAACUGCAGAACCACAAAAGAAGUGAAAAUGGCCAGUUCCUGACUUAACUGAUGACAUUACCUUGUGAAAUUCCUUCUCCUGGACAAUGAGUCUCAGAAGUUCCCCACUGAGCACCUUGUGACCCCCACCCCUGCCCGCAAGAGAACAACCCCCUUUGAGUGUAAUUUUCCACUACCUACCCAAAUCCUAUAAAACUGCCCCACCCCUAACUCCCUUUGCUGACUCUUUUUCUGACUCAGCCCACCUGCACCCAGGUGAUUAAACAGCUUUUUUGCUCACACAAA